rnacentral:rRNA from 1 species
UACGAAGGGGGCUAGCGUUGUUCGGAAUCACUGGGCGUAAAGGGUGCGUAGGCGGGAUCUUAAGUCAGGGGUGAAAUCCCGGAGCUCAACUCCGGAACUGCCUUUGAUACUGGAAAGCUUGAGUUCGGGAGAGGUGAGUGGAACUGCGAGUGUAGAGGUGAAAUUCGUAGAUAUUCGGAAGAACACCAGUGGCGAAGGCGGCUCACUGGACGACUGUUGACGCUGAGGUACGAAAGCGUGGGGGAGCAAACAGG